UCCCUGGUGGCUCAGAUGGUAAAGCGUCUGCCUGCAAUGCAGGAGACCCAGUUUCGAUUCCUGGGUCGAGAA
rfam:Ovis aries breed Texel chromosome 8, whole genome shotgun sequence.